GAAAAAAUAGGCUUCAAGUUUUCAAAUUCAAAUUCAGUAUUGUGUUAGAAUCUACUUGAAAUCUCUGACACCUAUGUCAUGAACAGUAGGCAUGAGAAGACCUGUUUCUGUUCAUCUUUGUUUCUAUGCCAAAACACUCAACAUAGAGGAUUGUGUGAAGCAAUGAAAGGCUCCUCAGGUUUCUCAUGUUCAUGUAACAUAAAGGAAUUUUUCCUGCGUUGCAAUCUCCGUAUGCCACUUUAAAUAAAGACAGGAAGAUAAUGUUGUAGGAGUAUAAUCAAAGAAAACUGUAGAUAUUUAUCGUUCAGAUGAACAAGCAAAAAAGAGGAAAAGAAUACAGGCAAUGUUGACAAAAAUCAUCCUUAAUGCAGGGGGAGGAGGGAGGAGUGGGGAUCAAAAGAGAAAGCAUAGCCAUUUAUGAGGUUUUCUAUAUGUCACACCUAGGCAAGCAAUACUAUAUAAAAUAUUAAGCAGCUCUAAUGCUGACUGAGAAAAUUUAUAGAGUCUGAAGUACCUGUCUUAAAUCAUAGCCACUGCUUACCUCUGUUUCUCACUCUUUAACCAAGCUUCUCUGCAGGCAUAAGUUGUGCCUCUAUGUUUCUUUGGAUAUUGUGCAAAGACUAAAGCCAUAAAGAAAUGAAAAUAACCAGGGGGAGAAUAUUAAGCAUGGAGAAGAUUGUAGCCAUGAGCAGAUGGAUGCAGGCUGCUGUUGACUGGAGCUGUUUAUUUUGGAUGAUGAGCUUAUUUUCUAUGAAGAGAAAGAUCUGUAGACAUCCAGACUGGAAACCAGAUGGCUUGGAUUGUUUUCUGGAAGGAAGACACCUUGUAGAGAAGAUGAAUUCUUCGCACAUGUAUGAAAGAAGCUCUCUGCACACAAGCUGCUUUACAGUUUUGACUUUACAAAUGAUGUUCUACAAUCUCAAGUCUUUAACCUUCUCCUGAGUUUUUCACAAGCUUUUCAAGGACUUGGGCAAGUUUAAUUUCGAUUAGAAGCCCAAUUACAGUUAUUUCAAAUCAUAUUGAUAUCUUCUUCUUCUUCAAGGUCUUUAUAGUCAGACAGUCUAUAUAUAAUCUGUCCCUGGAGGACGUUCUGUAGUAAUGUUUUCAUCUGAACCAGAAAUUACUUGUUAGUUCAACAUUUCUAGCAAUAGAGACCCCUUUAGCUUUGUUCAUAACAACAUAACUCUCUGG
rnacentral:lncRNA from 1 species